AAUGAGAUUGCUGGGUCAUAUGGUAAGUCUAUGUUUCACUUUAUAAGAAACUGCCAAACUGUUUUCCAGAGUGGCUGUCCCAUUUUUGCAUUCUUACUAGCAAU
rnacentral:pre_miRNA from 1 species